UCUAAUCUUAUUUACGUCUCUUAGUAAUUUUUUCAUUACUUUUGUCAUUCGUCAAUUUUUGCACCGUCCGUUAUUUUGGGCGGUGUUUAAGGUUCUUGAGCCGUUAAGGUUAGAACUUCUGGAUAUGGUGAUCUGAUCUGCGCCUCACCAAUAUCCCUCAUUUCUUAAGCCCGUCGUUAAUUUCGGCCUACCUUUGCGUCUUAUGCAGGACACGAUGUCGAGGACGAAAAAGACGGCAAACAUUGCUGACUUGUGGCUAAGGGGUCAGCAGAUGGACCCUUCUUUCUCAGGGGGGAGAUCCAUCAGAGUGCCGACGGGGGAAAUAAGCCGGACUCCGCCAGGCGAGGCUAAAAGCUCUCGUCAAGGAGUUACAUACUUUGAUGAGUUUUGGAUGGAGGAGAUGGAAGAUGCUGGUCCAUCGAGACAACCCGCCGACUCGUUCGAGGAGUCGGAGCAAGAUGAGAGCAACGGCGAGGUUGUGGGUGAAGAUGCCGAAGAGGAGGCAGUUGGAGUGACUCAAGUUGUUGCUGGAGGUGUACAGGGGGAGAAUGCUCAAAUUUCUGCGGAUCAGAUUGGGGCUGAUCCGAAGUGGUUAAAAUGGUUGGAGAAACAUGGGGAGAAUUAUGCCGCUGGCAUGAAUACCGGCCCUGGUUAUGAGAUGAGGUUUCUUGAAAGCGAGGCGUCCACUAUUUUUGACGUGGGCCCAGGUUAGUCAAGUGUAUGCUGGAGCUUUCAAGAGUGGUUUACGAUUUUCAGUCCACCCUUUUGUGGAGGAAGUGUUGGAUGGGUUCGGCAUUGGUCUUUGCCAAUUGUCCCCCAAUUCGUGGACGAACGUACUUGGAUACGUUGUUAAGUGUGAGUUGUUGGGCCUAAGGCCGUCUUUUAAUGCUUUUCUAAGUUUGGUGCGUUUUCAGAAGGUAAAGGGAGCCGAAGGUUGGUUCCAAUUGGCUAACAAGGGUGAGUAUGCUACUACCUUUGACAAGCCGUCAAAACAUCAUUUUUGGAGAAUGAGAUGGGUGGUGAUGUGGACCGCGGACGAGGAGGCGGAGCUGAAGUUUUGCCGUUGGCAGUUGGAGCCCCGCUUUGCUGGGGGAAAUGAGGAGUUGCCGGCCCUGACGGCACAAGAGUGGGAUCAGAUUGUUGUCCACUUCGAGGCUGAGUCUGUGACGGUGCAGACUAAGAACUUGCACAUCCCUAAAUCCUGGCUCCCGUCAUGUUCUCAGUUUAAAGAUCCAGUGUUUCUGGCAGCGGCUGGUCUAGAUCAUGGGUUAGACCAAGAUAUCGAGGCAUUACUGCUUAUUUGUGUUAGCUAUUAUUUACUAACUGACAAAGGUAUAAAUUUUUUUUUGCAGUCGUUGCCAUGUCUAAGCUCCCGGCCCAGGAAAAAGGAGGAAUUAGCACCAAAGAGUGGUUGACUCAAAUGGUCGACCAGAAGCUGAAGGGGAUCGUUGGAGGUGCCCCGGAAAAAGUAAGUUGUUUAUUUUUUAUUAGCUUUGGUAUAUGGCUCGGCAUUUUCCUUUAUGUUACCUGUGCUGUUAUUGUAGAAGGGCGAGAAGAGUCAGGCCAGCCCCAAGCGCAAGGCCGAGGACAAGCACGCUUCUACUGCGGGGAAACGUCCCAAGGUUAAGGCGGGAAUCAGGCGUCCUAAGAAGGAGGACGUAGCUGAGAGGUCGGCUGAUUCCCCUGUCGAGGUCGUUCCCAUGGCCGUGACUCCUCUGCGGCAGCAUCCUCUUCCAGAGGGUUCGGUCAAGAAGGGGGACGCCAGAGGAGGAACCGGGCCCAGCAAGAGGGCUCCUUCGCCUACGCCGGUUGAGAUCCUCGAUGGUGAGGACGAGCAGCCAAUAGCUCGGGCGGCCCAGACUCUGGAGGCGCCUCGUCACCGGGUGAGCGAUGAUCCAGGCAGGCGGCACUGGACGAGGAAAUUCGCAACAUUCCUCCGUUACGGCAGUUUGGGGCCAUGCAGGGGGUUCUCCUGGAUGUAUGCGUCCAACUUUUGUUGUCGUUUCGUCUUUGUACUUUGCGGUUAUUAUCCUCUCUAACUUAUAUUGUUCUCGCAGCUGUUUAUUAAAGCCGAGGGCUUCAAGCGCUGGCGAGCUGACGUCACCAGUCAGCUUCAGCGGCAGGUUCAUCGGGCCACCAAUGUCGGCGACUAUGCCAUGGUGACGGUGGAGAAGGUUCGGCUGGAAAUGCAGGAGACCAUUGAGGCUCAGAGCAAAGAGCUUUCCGUCCUGAGGAGUGACAAGAAGCAGUGCUUGAUUAAAAUAAAUGAACAAGUACUUACUAUUGAAACCCUCAAUGCCGAAGCCCUUUCUGCCCAGUCGUUCCUCCAAGAAGCUGAAGCCAAGGUGAAGGAAGCCGUGGGCCUACGGCAACAGGUGGCUAGCCUUGAGGAGAUGGUCUCGGCUUCUCAAGCUGAGAUUUCUCAAGUCAGGGCUGAGGCUAAGCUGGUCGCGGACGAGACGAGGGAGAGAACUCGCCGAGCAUGAGACGCCUACAUGGAGGACUUCUCUUUUGCCUAGUUUGAGCGGCAGAUUGAGAAGCAAGGUGCCAUCAUUGCCGCCGAGCGACAAGGUAUUCCUCCUCCCGUGUUUGAGGAUUCUGACGCCGAAAGUGAGGAGGUGAACUCACCGGCCCAGGAGGAGGGAACUUCUACUCAACCAGCCCAAAAGCCUGCUGCCGACGGUCCAGAUGGUGUGGACGCGUCGACCUCUGCCAACUCUGCCGCUGCUCAACCUGCUAGACCCUAACUCCAUUUCUCCUCAUCAAAACAAGUUUAUAUGGCGCCGCGAGCGUCUAUAAUGAAUAAUUUUUAUUCCUGUUUGACACCUAGGGCGUUUGUUUGGAUAAUUUUUCAUUUUUGUUUGGAUUUGGCGCUGUUUUGUGCGCAAACAGGUGGUGAUUCGUCACCUUUUUUAUGUUUUACGUUUUUAUAUUGGGACUUUUAAACGCCUUCUCUGUUAUGUGUAUGUUUUGUGUGUUAUUGGACGUCUAGCUUUGUGCCCCAGAGCAGGUGUUU